GGCGGCCUUGGUGCGUGUGUAGUGCAUGUGAACAUUGUUGCGUCUCUUAAUUGCUCAGUAUCGCGCUUGUACACUCGCAAUUCUCCAAGAUGUUUGGUUUCAUGAUGAUAAUUAAAAAUUAAUAGUCCCGGUAGGUGCAUGUAAGUACAUCAAUCCGAAGUAUACAGGCAAUUUUGAUCCUCACAAGUGGUACCGGGUGUUCUAGAAGGAAACACACACUGCGGCCACUAUCACGCUCAAGUGAUUAAGCUUUACGGCACCGAGGAUGACGCAAGGAAUGCAACAGAAAAACGACCAUCCAUUCCGCAGACCAGAUUGCGACUCCUCCGAUAGCUGCAGUUCAAAUGAAGUGGACAAUGAGUCGGUUAAAAAACAAAGAACCUUGUCCUUUGCGGAUGUUGCAGCCGCAAGCCUCAAAAACAGAAACGACUUGCACCUUUGCCACCACUAUGUGCUGCCACGCUGGAACCGCCACAGCGAUCACGGACAGCCCUGAAGUAGCCCAGUCAAGUGUGAGGGAGGCUGCACUGCUUAUCAAUUAUGUGCCCACUGACAGAGAGGUGCAUCGGAGCAAAGGAAUUGCCGUUCCCAAGAGGUUGUACAAUCACCCCAUGGGCUUGAAAUCACCCCAUGGGCUUGAAAAGACAGACCCGUUUUGUUCGUGAGGCGGUCGUUACCAUUUUUUAUACAGCAGGCCAAGUCGGUAGAAGUGUUACUGGCGCAGCCUCCAAUCGGUCUAAAGGGGAGGCGAAAUCUCCCAAGGAAAAAAGAAACAUAUGCUGUGUUUUCAGGUAGGUGAGAUUUUGCAAUCUGACCAAAAUUCAUGGAAGUUAGUGGCUCCAUUUUUGCACGUAAUCAGCCGAGGUUUCACUGCCAACUUGUGUUAUAAUUACUUACUAAAGCUUCAAGUGUAGCUUUUGCCUACUGGAGCUGGGUACUUUUAUGCAAGAAUCCACAAACUAACUUUAAACAAUAUUAGAGAGGCAGACUGGUAGAACUACUUAUUUUCUUGUCAUAUUGACUCCUCUAUUUAGAGUGCACAUAAUUGUCGCUUAAUAAGUGCCUGUAACUUGCUUUGUUUUUGAUCAUGCAGAUUUCAACCUUUUUUUUGAAGCACACCGUUCUGAUUGGAGAGGUUGAGCAAAUGAAGAAGCUCCUCAAUAAAGCUUUGGCAAACAAAA
rnacentral:lncRNA from 1 species